GGAUAACCUGCCCUAAGGAAGGGGAUAACCUCGGGAAACUGAGGAUAAUACCCUAUAGGAUACCGAUGCUGGAAUGCCCGGUAUCCCAAAGCUCCGGCGCCUUAGGAUGGAUCUGCGGCCGAUUAGGUCGUUGUUGGGGUAACGGCCCAACAAGCCGAUAAUCGGUACGGGUUGUGGGAGCAAGAGCCCGGAGUUGGAUUCUGAGACACGAAUCCAGGCCCUACGGGGCGCAGCAGGCGCGAAAACUUUACAAUGCGGGCAACCGUGAUAAGGGAACCUCGAGUGCCUGUACAUGCAGGCUGUCUGGGUGUCUAAAACACACCCAAAGAAAGGGCCGGGCAAGACCGGUGCCAGCCGCCGCGGUAAUACCGGCGGCUCGAGUGGUGGCCACUUUUAUUGGGCUUAAAGCGUUCGUAGCUGGGUUGUUAAGUCUCUUGGGAAAUCUGGCAGCUUAACUGUCAGGCGUCUAAGAGAUACUGGCAAUCUAGGAACCGGGAGAGGUGAGGGGUACUUCGGGGGUAGGAGUGAAAUCCUGUAAUCCUCGAGGGACCACCUGUGGCGAAGGCGCCUCACCAGAACGGCUUCGACAGUGGGGGACGAAAGCUGGGGGAGCAAACCGGAUUAGAUACCCGGGUAGUCCCAGCCGUAAACGAUGCGCGUUAGGUGUGUCGAUGACCACGAGUCAUCGAGGUGCCGAGGGGAAACCGUGAAACGCGCCGCCUGGGAAGUACGGUCGCAAGGCUGAAACU
rnacentral:rRNA from 1 species